CUGCAACUCGCCUACAUGAAGCUGGAAUCGCUAGUAAUCGCGGAUCAGCAUGCCGCGGUGAAUACGUUCCCGGGCCUUGUACACACCGCCCGUCACACCACGAGAGUUUGUAACACCCGAAGUCGGUGAGGUAACCUUUUGGAGCCAGCCGCCUAAGGUGGGACAGAUGAUUGGGGUGAAGUCGUAACAAGGUAGCCGUAUCGGAAGGUGCGGCUGGAUCACCUCCUUU
rnacentral:ncRNA from 1 species